GAUGAACGCUGACAGAAUGCUUAACACAUGCAAGUCGACUCGAGUCUUCGGACUUGGGUGGCGCACGGGUGAGUAACGCGUAAAGAACUUGCCUCUUAGACCGGGACAACAUCUGGAAACGGAUGCUAAUACCGGAUAUUAUGGUUUUUUCGCAUGGAGGAAUCAUGAAAGCUAGAUGCGCUAAGAGAGAGCUUUGCGUCCCAUUAGCUAGUUGGUGAGGUAACGGCCCACCAAGGCAAUGAUGGGUAGCCGGCCUGAGAGGGUGAACGGCCACAAGGGGACUGAGACACGGCCCUUACUCCUACGGGAGGCAGCAGUGGGGAAUAUUGGACAAUGGACCACAAGUCUGAUCCAGCAAUUCUGUGUGCACGAUGACGUUUUUCGGAAUGUAAAGUGCUUUCAGUCGGGAAGAAGUCAGUGACGGUACCGACAGAAGAAGCGACGGCUAAAUACGUGCCAGCAGCCGCGGUAAUACGUAUGUCGCAAGCGUUAUCCGGAUUUAUUGGGCGUAAAGCGCGUCUAGGCGGCAAGGAAAGUCUGAUGUGAAAAUGCGGAGCUCAACUCCGUAUGGCGUUGGAAACUGCCUUACUAGAGUACUGGAGAGGUAGGCAGAACUACAAGUGUAGAGGUGAAAUUCGUAGAUAUUUGUAGGAAUGCCGAUGGGGAAGCCAGCCUACUGGACAGAUACUGACGCUAAAGCGCGAAAGCGUGGGUAGCAAACAGG
rnacentral:rRNA from 1 species